AAAGCCUCCUCCCGCCUAAGGUCUUCAGCCCAGCCGGGCUGCCCUUCUUCCCUGCGGAGGGAGGGCCUGGGCGGUCGGGUUGGCGGGAGGGAGGUUACCUUUCCCGGUCUCGCUCCGGCCGCCCGAGCCGGGAGGAAGCAGCGGCGAGGUCUGCGGGCGGCAUGGCGGGAGCUCAGGACGAGCGCGGGCGGGGCCCCGCGGCAGGGGAGCAGCUGCAGCAGCAACACGUCUCUUGCCAGGUCUUCCCCGAGCGUCUGGCCCAGGGGAAUCCCCAGCAAGGGUUCUUCUCCAGCUUCUUCACCAGCAACCAGAAGUGCCAGCUUAGGCUCCUGAAGACGCUGGAGACAAUGCUGUUAACAAAGAUAGACACUUUUCUUGCGAAGACUGUAAUGGAAAUGUCAGUGGAGGUUUUGAUGCUUCAACAUCUCAGAUAGUUUUGUGCCAGAAUAAUAUCCAUAAUCAGGCCCAUAUGAACAGAGUGGUCACACACGAGCUCAUUCAUGCAUUUGAUCAUUGUCGUGCCCAUGUCGACUGGUUCACCAACAUCAGACAUUUGG
rnacentral:sRNA from 1 species